GUUGCAUUUGAAACAAGCAAGGCCCUGUGACAAAAAAAAAAAGAAACAAGCAAGGCCUUAUUUAGUUCCUUAUUGUAAAAAGUAUGAUAUAUAUGCAUACGAUCGAUAUAUGCCUUUUGUUUUCCAAGACUUUAAUCCAUGUUACAUUAAGAGUCCUAAUUUUAUGAAUCAUGGUUCUUCGAAGAUUCAAUAUUAAAUUGUCCCUGUGACUGAAACCAAUGUUCAAAAAAUCGUUAAAAGAUAUUAGACGAUUUAUCGGGCAUUUAUAUCAGGUUUUUGAAUGUUUGGACCAAUUUUCUUAAAAAUCAUUCUAUAAAAAUUAUUUUCCUUUUUAAAUGUUCAAUUGGCCGUUUAGACGCCGCCGCCUCAACCGAUUUCUAGAACAAGAAGUACAGUACUUUUUUUUUCAUUUUACCACAUUACAAUCAUGAUAAAAUAAAGGAAAUAAUAGCCUCAUGAGUUGGUCUAGCGAUUACAGGUUUGAUUUGUUUUGGUGUGGUCCACACUACUUCAGACUCAUUUAACGCUCUUGCUGUCUUAGUUUUUAAAGAGGCUAAUAUACAGUAACCAUUAGGUUAACUCUUCUAAUAUAGUGUGGUCGGUCACCAAAAUCUUUCAAUAUAAGUAAAAGUUAACUCUUCUAGGUUGCUCACAUGCAAACUUUAGUUUCACCGGCUAGUCUAAACCGCAACUUUGGCAUGAUUUUUGCUUUUCGUUUGUUGGAGGUGGAUUCCAUUCAAAACAGGUCCACUAAAAAAUACAGAAUCCCACAAAGCUGCUAGGCCUAGCUUGAAAAAGGCAUGCCUAACAACUGUACAAAUUACACAUGUGACAUGACAUUGUUGAUCAAACGCCUGAAGGAGAAGCACCUCAGAAGAAGGGGAUCCGCAUACCUGACCUCCAAAGAGAAACUUAGAGAGUGAAGACCUCAUAUCAUCAUUGAAGUCUGAUCUUAGAUCUUCGGAGUCUUUUCCCAAACCCUCUUCAUUUUCAUUAGAAUUUGCAUUGUAUUUGUAACCCUAACCACUUUUGUAAUCAUUUUAUAGGCACAACUUAGAUAUAUUGAAAUAAUCUGGUCCAUAUGUCCCUAUAUCCUGAAGAUUUACCGCAUUCUAGGAGUAACCUAAAACUUUUCAUUUACUAGUAGCAUAAUCCGUUUCCCAGUGCACAACCAAAGUUUUUUGGUGCACAACCAAAGUUCAACUCUAAACGGCUUGAUCUGUUUAACUUGUACCGAGAGGUGGUUUGAUUUUGAUCAACCCAGACAGCAUUAUGGUGAGCUAAUGAGAGUAUUUUCAGGUUGUAACACGUGGAGUCCACGUAGGGAAUGGGAUCAACUGGAAAGGACAAGUUUUCUCAAAAGAUGGCGGAACCACACUCAAAAACAGAAUGACUGUAAAGUACAUUAAGAAUGUGGUUGAAGCAGUAGCACGGCAGGUGACUGGGUGAACUGUGGAGAAUGGGCUCAGUUCAGAUGUGACAGAAGGCCAGGCCUUGGCGCCUUCAAGGAUUACGCGAAAGCGGAUGGAUUCGAAUGUGUGCCCAAACUGUAGCGUCUGUAAUUACAGGAACAAGUCGCAGAAGACCUCUAAUGGCUUACUUGUCCCUUAGCUUCACGUUUCUUCUUUCAUUGUACCUUUUCUUUUUAAAAUGAUUGAUUCCUCCUCCUCUUACGAUCUUUUUUUGCAAUGCAUGUUUCAUUCUAAUUAUUAUCAUAUAUAUAUAUAUAUAUAUAUAUAAAUUUGUU